rnacentral:rRNA from 1 species
AUUGAACGCUGGCGGCAGGCCUAACACAUGCAAGUCGAGCGGAGCGGCGGACGGGUGAGUAAUGCCUAGGAAUCUGCCUGGUAGUGGGGGAUAACGUCAGGAAAAGGGCGAUAAUACCGCAUACUAUUAGAUGAGCCUAGGUCGUAUUAGAUGGGUGGUGGGGUAAAGGCCUACCAAGGCGACGAUCCGGAACUGGUCUGAGAGGAUGAUCAGUCACACUGAAACGUAGGCACGUUCCAGAUUCCUACGGGAGGCAGCAGUGGGGAGUAUUGGACCAUGGGGGAAAGCCUGAUCCAGCCAUUCCGCGUGUGUGAAGAAGGUCUUCGGAUUGUAAAGCACUUUAAGUUGGGAGGCGUUACCAACAGAAUAAGCACCGGCUAACUUCGUGCCAGCAGCCGCGGUAAUAC